UACGUAGGGUGCAAGCGUUUAAUCGGAAUACUGGGCGUAAAGCGUGCGCAGGCGGUUUUGUAAGUCUGACGUGAAAUCCCCGGGCUCAACCUGGGAAUUGCGUUGGAGACUGCAAGGCUAGAAUCUGGCAGAGGGGGGGUAGAAUUCCACGUGUAGCAGUGAAAUGCGUAGAGAUGUGGAGGAACACCGAUGGCGAAGGCAGCCCCCCUGGGGAUAA
rnacentral:rRNA from 1 species